rnacentral:lncRNA from 1 species
UUCUUCCUGCCUUCUCUCAAAGGCACAACCCAAUUUUCUUUAAAGUUAUUCACCCCUAAAUUCUACAAAGCCCUGCCUCAUUUUAAGUAUGGUAGCCCCUGACUACUGAUACCCUGUCCAAGUGACGUAGGGCCCCGUAACGUAUGUCAAGGCUUUGCCUAAAUUCGUUGGGGUUCUGUCUCGUGACGUAGGGAUAAAGUAGAAUUGGGUUACUAUACUUGAUGUGGGUACACUAUAUAUUUUAUUAAAUAAUCCAGGAGUUGUACCCAAAAUAUAACAAACCUCCCGAAUAUUUUUCUGACACCCUACACUUCCUAAAAUACACCACAUAUGUGAAAACCGAGCCCGAAAUAUAAUAUAGCAUUAAAAAUAAGUGAAAAACAAGAAAUAGUAAGUUGAGGCGGGCCGCGUAGACCCACCCCAACCAUUCACGCGGGCCGUAUGAAGGUGUAACCGGAUUCCUUUGAUUUCUUAAGUCCAGGCGGGCCGCGUAAGGCCACACCGUUAGUUUACGCGGGCCGCGAGUGUCCCGAUUCGUGGCGCAGCCCGGUGAUGACACGUGUCAUCAUCGUGGCAGGUCUAGAGGAUGAGCCGGACAAGCUAGUCCGUUGACCAGGGUUGACGCGGGCCGCGUGACCCCUGUCCUUUCUUUACGCGGGCCGCGUGGGAACCAGAAUCAGCACCUAUAUAAGCAGGCAUCGGGUUUUAGUAUUCCUCGUUCAUUUCUUUUCUUUCUAAACGAAUUCUGAAGUAGUAGAAGUGAUACGCGGGUAUUAUACCCCCUAAUUAGCGAAGCUCUGCCUCGUUACUAUAACCAAGGAAUCACAAAGGAAAGCCUUAUAAUAGCAAUGUAACUUAGUGUAAAGCCAAUAGAAGCCAGCUGGAGAGCACUGAAGGCUUGGAAAAGUGGCAAUAAAGUUACCUAAAAUAAAAUAGAUGUUUUUAUUAAAUAAAAUAGGAUUUAUUCCUAUGAAAAUGUAUGUACUGAAAAACUUGGGUUUUAUCCCAUGUGUUUAAUAUAAUGAAAAGAAGGUGGUUUUACUCUGAUAAAAUAUUUCCUAACUACGGUCCUGAUGAAAAAUUCCGCUGCCAAAUAGACAAUACGCGAUACCACCGAAACUGGCUCACGGCCGCCCGCUCCUGAGGGAUCGGGGGUUGUGAAAGAAGGUGGUAUCAGAGCUAUGCCACUGGUUCAAGCCAAAGAAGUAGUAUAAGUAACCAAUAUGACUAGACGUACCCAUAGGCUACCUCGGCAGAUGUAUUAUACAACACUCUUAUACAAUUAGUAACUUAAGGUAUCACCUUGAGUGAGAUCUCUUCUUAAAUAAAUGAAUGUACCGUAAUAUAUAUACAUAUAUAUAUAUAUAUAUGUGUGUGUGUGUAUAUACUACUAUGUGUAUAUCAACCUUACUAGGAAAUAUUAAUACACGUUCAUUUUGUAAAAAAUAUUCAUAGAUCAUGGGUAUAAAUUUUAGAUAUUAAAUCUAAAAUCAUAAUUUAUGGUAAAUUUACAUAAGAAAUUGAAUAAUAUUAUGUAUCCACCUUAAAUAAAAGUAUGUUAUUUUAAGUUGAUUCAUAGACUUCAUGAUCUAUACCAUGAUCUAUCCUUAUGAAUGGCGGUAUAGAUUAUGGUAAAUUCCUGAAUUGACCUUAAAUCCAGAAAUCGUGUUAAUGUACAAUAUUAAUUGUAUGUAAAAUAAUUGUAGUAUAGUAUACUUCUAAUAAACAUACGUUAUAAUGCACUAUAAAAAAAAGGGUCUGAUGGUUUGUACAAUCGGUAUAAAAGAAAGUUAAUAGUUAGUGUUUU